rnacentral:rRNA from 1 species
UACAGAGGUCUCAAGCGUUGUUCGGAUUCAUUGGGCGUAAAGGGUGCGCAGGCGGCGUGGUUAGUUGAGUGUGAAAUCCUGGGGCUUAACCUCAGAACUGCACUCAAUACUGCCAUGCUAGAGGAAUGUAGAGGAGAGUGGAAUUCACGGUGUAGCAGUGAAAUGCGUAGAUAUCGUGAGGAAGACCAGUUGCGAAGGCGACUCUCUGGGCAUUUCCUGACGCUCAUGCACGAAGGCCAGGGGAGCAAACGGG